rnacentral:lncRNA from 1 species
AUGGAAGGUGCUGGAAGCUGGCCGGGCUCUGUGGUGAGGCAGUGCCGUGUGCACGGCCCUCACAGGGACGAGACGGAGGGCAAGGCGCUGUUCUCCGUGAGGUGCUCUUCAGGACAUGGGCAUGAAGAAAGUCCUUCUGAGCUGCUGGUCUCACAGAAAUCUGAAUUUUCCAGCUCAUAUUCCAUGAAGAGCUUUGAUUAAAAGAAAAAGAUACAACGUGCACCACAAAGUAAGUAACUGAUCUUUUUUCCCAUCAUGUACUACAGAUGUACCACAUCUUUUAAAAGUUAUAAUUAACUGUGUUUUUAGCUAGCUGGUUAGAUAUUCUUUUUAGUUGCUACUGUG